UAAAAUUAAACAAAAGCAUCUCGUAUAAUCGUAGGGAUAUGGCCUACAAGUUUCUACCAAGCUACCGUAAAUGGCUUGACUACGAGAAUAAAUGAAGGUGGA
rnacentral:ncRNA from 2 species